CGUUCCAUCGGAGGCAAUAUGGCUUCAGAAAGAAGAGGAGCACAGUAGAUGCCAUCACGCAGGUGAUGAAGUUUGCCAACAUCUGCAAACAGAAGAAGGUAAUAUGCGUGAUGAUCACCCUGGAUAUUAGCAAUGCCUUCAAUUCGCUCAGCUGGAAGAGCAUAUACGAGGAAUUUGACAAGAGGAAGCUGCCAUGGAAGGUCAAAAGACUAAUCGGCAGUUACCUAUCCGGAAGGAGGAUCAUCGUGAGCAACCAGCACGGCACGACAUGAGCAGUAACUGCCCGAAGAAGUAGAUACAACGGGGCACGAAUGGACAACUCUGAUGACUGCCGACAGGUUUUACCGGGGUUGUCUGUCCCCUAAGCGGAGGAGGAAGGAGGAGGGGUUUUUAGUGGGUAUGGCAACGGCAUCCGACCGACUCCCACAUAACCCAGUGAUGCGGGUCACUGGGCAUGCGUAAUAGCAUUUUCCCCUCCCCACGCAAAAAAAAAAAAA
rnacentral:misc_RNA from 1 species